CAUCCCCUAGGGGCGCAGCAGUGGGGGAUAUUGCACAAUGGGGGAAACCCUGAUGCAGCGACGCCGCGUGAGCGAUGAAGUAUUUCGGUAUGUAAAGCUCAAUCAGCAGGGAAGAAAAUGACGGUACCUGACUAAGAAGCCCCGGCUAACUACGUGCCAGCAGCCGCGGUAAUACGUAGGGGGCAAGCGUUAUCCGGAUUUACUGGGUGUAAAGGGAGCGUAGACGGCAGUGCAAGUCUGAAGUGAAAGGCAAGGGCUCAACCCUUGGACUGCUUUGGAAACUGUGCUGCUGGAGUGUCGGAGAG
rnacentral:rRNA from 1 species